rnacentral:rRNA from 1 species
GCGAGGAAUUUUGGGCAAUGGGCGAAAGCCUGACCCAGCAACGCCGCGUGGGGGAUUAAGGCCUUCGGGUUGUAAACCCCUUUUGCCAGGGACGAUGAUGACGGUACCUGGCGAAUAAGCCUCGGCUAACUACGUGCCAGCAGCCGCGGUAAUACGUAGGAGGCGAGCGUUGUCCGGAUUUACUGGGCGUAAAGCGCGUGUAGGCGGGAAGGCAAGUCUCCUGUGAAAUCUCUCGGCUCAACUGGGAGGGGUCAGGAGAUACUACCUUUCUUGAGGGCAGCAGAGGGAAGCGGAAUUCCCGGUGGAGCGGUGGAAUGCGUAGAUAUCGGGAGGAACACCAGUGGCGAAGGCGGCUUCCUGGGCUGUUCCUGACGCUGAGACGCGAAAGCGUGGGGAGCAAACCGGAUUAGAUACCCGAGUAGUCC